rnacentral:rRNA from 1 species
AGAAUCAACGCUGGCGGCGUGCCUAACACAUGCAAGUCGCACGAGAAAGGGGAGCAAUCCCUGAGUACAGUGGCGCACGGGUGAGUAACACGUGAAUAAUCUACCUCCGAGUGGGGAAUAACUGAGAGAAAUCUUAGCUAAUACCGCAUAAUACCCACGGGUCAAAGCAGUAAUGCGCUUGGAGAGGAGUUCGCGGCAGAUUAGUUAGUUGGCGGGGUAAUGGCCCACCAAGACGAUGAUCUGUAUCCGGCCUGAGAGGGCGCACGGACACACUGGAACUGAAACACGGUCCAGACUCCUACGGAGGCAGCAGUGGGGAAUUUUGCGCAAUGGGGGAAACCCUGACGCAGCAACGCCGCGUGGAGGAUGAAGCCCCUUGGGGUGUAAACUCCUUUCGAUCGGGAAGAUAAUGACGGUACCGAUAUAAGAAGCCCGGCUAACUCGUGCCAGCAGCCGC